rnacentral:rRNA from 1 species
CUGCAACCCGACUACAUGAAGCUGGAAUCGCUAGUAAUCGCAGGUCAGCAUACUGCGGUGAAUACGUUCCCGGGUCUUGUACACACCGCCCGUCACACCAUGGGAGCCGGAAAUGCCCGAAGCCAGUGACCCAACCUUAGGGAGGGAGCUGUCGAAGGUGGAGCCGGUAACUGGGGUGAAGUCGUAACAAGGUAAC